rnacentral:tRNA from 1 species
GAUAGCUUAGUCGGUAGAGCAUGUGACUCUUAAUCUCAGGAUUGUGGGUUCGAGCUCCACAUUGGGCAAACA